GAAGAGUAAGAAGGCAGCGCCAAAUUCUGCACACUGCGCUGCAGCAAUCGAGAGCCCUCUUUACUAAAAGUCACAACUGUGGAUAAAGUGGUUCAUCUCCACUACCUUGUGCCUCUGGUUGUAUUUGCACUAUCACGGGACUGAAGAAGUAAUUUAUUUCUAAUGGGUCUCUACCCGAAACAUCACCCAUUCCUUCCCUCCAGAGAUGCUGCCUGUCCUGCUGAGUUACUCCAGCAUUUUGUGUCUACCGUUAAUUUAUUUCUAACCUCAAAGAGAAACACAUGUGUGCCGUGGAGCAUGUUUGGAAUGUCACUUUACUCCGGAUGCUGGAACUAACAGAAUGUAUUCUGGAACUCGCAAAGGCUGUAUGGAAAGAGAUGCUGGAAGAACUCAGCCGGUCAAGAGGAAAGAGAAAAUAAAGUCGGCGUUUCAGUUCUGCAUCUCUCCCUCAGAAGGAGCCUCAGCAAACGGACUUAAUUGGAACCACAGCACGCUCACAAUGUCAGCCCAGAUCAUGCUGAAAGAGCUGUAUUCAAACCCACCAGCGUCUGACUCAGUGCUCCUCAACAAGCCACAGCAGACACUCAAGAUGCUGUCUGACCUGCCGACUUUUUCCAGCAUAUUCAGUUCGAUACAAAUACUAAUUGUUUGAGAUCCGGAGUGAACCAUUCUUCAGAUACCGCUUCUGGAGACCAUAUCCAGCUAUUCGUCACCCACGGCGGUAAGGUCGAGGGGGAGAUCUCUGACAAAGAGUAAUCCAACCAAGACCUCAAUGGUGGGCUAGGCGGAGGAUGAUGGCACAGUUUACUGGAGCGUCACAACAGCUGGGUAAGCGGAUGAAGGCUGCAGCAGAAAAGGGUCUCCAUUCGUUUUGGACUCCAUGCCACUGGAUCCUGACCAGAUCUGUCAAGGACCGUGUGGUGGCUGUUUGUGCACCAGUCUCCUCACGUUAAA